GACGUAGGGCGCGAGCGUUGUCCGGGUUUAUUGGGCGUAAAGAGCUCGUAGGCGGCUUGUCGCGUCGUCCGUGAAAACUCACAGCUCAACUGUGAGCUUGCGGUCGAUACGGGCAGGCUUGAGUUCGGUAGGGGAGACUGGAAUUCCUGGUGUAGCGGUGAAAUGCGCAGAUAUCAGGAGGAACACCGGUGGCGAAGGCGGGUCUCUGGGCCGAUACUGACGCUGAGGAGCGAAAGCGUGGGGAGCGAACAGG
rnacentral:rRNA from 1 species